UCAAGUUUUAAAGUGAUUAUUUAAUUUAAUUGAGGUUUAACCCUAAUUUUAAAAUUCAGAAAAUAUGGGAGUUUACAUGUUAAGUGGCAUCAAGAUUAGGAACGUGACUAUAGAAUUGAGUAAGUUAUUGGGUCUAGGUUAAACAUAUAUAUAAUAUUGGUGUUUACGGAUUAGUUUACUUAUAAAUAUUAUAUAUUUGAUAGAUUGAAAUUGGUCUGAGGCAUUGAAGAAAGGAAAGACAUUGGUGGAUUAGCUUGCUUUACUUCGGUUCUUCGAUUGAGCGAGUCUUCCAUCGGCUUCGACUUGACUUCAGCUCUAGUCAAUCUUCAGUUCAUAAGAUAUCAGGGUGAGCUAUCCUUCUAGCUGACGAUGAAUUCUCUUAGUCACGACAUGAUGUCCUUAGUGUUCGGACACGAACUAUGUCACUUAUUUUAUUUUAGUGUUUGACAUUCUAGACUUAGUAUUUUAGAAGUUAGAUGUCCUUAAUGUGAUGACUUUCAGGUUUUGGGGAAAAUGUAUUUAUUUGAGCUUCCGCAUUAUUGUUAUAUUUAUUA